UGAACGCUGGCGGCGUGCCUAAUACAUGCAAGUCGCGCGAACGGACGAGAAGCUUGCUUCUCUGAUGUUAGCGGCGGACGGGUGAGUAACACGUGGAUAACCUACCUAUAAGACUGGGAUAACUUCGGGAAACCGGAGCUAAUACCGGAUAAUAUUUUGAACCGCAUGGUUCAAAAGUGAAAGACGGUCUUGCUGUCACUUAUAGAUGGAUCCGCGCUGCAUUAGCUAGUUGGUAAGGUAACGGCUUACCAAGGCAACGAUGCAUAGCCGACCUGAGAGGGUGAUCGACCACACUGGAACUGAGACACGGUCCAGACUCCUACGGGAGGCAGCAGUAGGGAAUCUUCCGCAAUGGGCGAAAGCCUGACGGAGCAACGCCGCGUGAGUGAUGAAGGUCUUCGGAUCGUAAAACUCUGUUAUUAGGGAAGAACAUAUGUGUAAGUAACUGUGCACAUCUUGACGGUACCUAAUCAGAAAGCCACGGCUAACUACGUG
rnacentral:rRNA from 1 species